rnacentral:rRNA from 1 species
UACGGAGGGUGCGAGCGUUGUCCGGAAUCACUGGGCGUAAAGGGCGCGUAGGCGGCCUGAUAAGUAGGGGGUGAAAUCCUGGAGCUCAACUCCAGAACUGCCUUUGAUACUGAGAAUCUUGAGUAUGGGAGAGGUGAGUGGAACUGCGAGUGUAGAGGUGAAAUUCGUAGAUAUUCGCAAGAACACCAGUGGCGAAGGCGGCUCACUGGCCCAGUAACUGACGCUGAGGCACGAAAGCGUGGGGAGCAACAGG